rfam:Myotis lucifugus cont2.53261, whole genome shotgun sequence.
UGGCUGACAGCGGGCAACGAAAUUCCGAAAAGCAAGCUGUUGUCUCCCAGAGCAUUCCAGCUGCGCUUUGAUUUCGUUCCCCUGCUUCUCCUGCCU